rnacentral:rRNA from 1 species
GGGCAACCUACCCAUAAGAGGGGGAUAACAGUUGGAAACGACUGCUAAUACCGCAUAAGCUAUUAAGGUCGCGAUGACCUUAAUAGUAAAAGGUGGCGAAAAGCUAUCACUUAUGGAUGGGCCCGCGUCGUGAUUAGCUAGUUGGUGGGGUAGUGGCCUACCAAGGCAACGAUCAGUAGCCGGCCUGAGAGGGUGGACGGCCACACUGGGACUGAGACACGGCCCAGACUCCUACGGGAGGCAGCAGUGGGGAAUAUUGCGCAAUGGGGGAAACCCUGACGCAGCGACGCCGCGUGAGCGAAGAAGGCCUUAGGGUCGUAAAGCUCUGUUGUAAGGGACGAAUGUUUAUCUGGCGAACAGUCAGAUAAAGUGACGGUACCUUACCAGCAAGCCCCGGCUAACUACGUGCCAGCCGCGGC